CGAGUCAAUUACGACCUAUAUACCCGGUCGGGUAGGGUUAAUAUUAAUUAGGGGUUUAACUUAUUAGGAUCUGGGUUCUGAUACCAUGUUAGAUUCGGGUUUAUUAUGGGCUUCCAACUCAAAACCAAUUGGCAAUUAGUGGAUUGGCCCUAACCCUUUAUAUAUUACUUAAUGUUCCAUUGAUUUUCCAAUGUGGGAUACAUAUCCCUUAAUAAAGUAAACGUAUUUGCGGUUUAGAGCUCGUGAGUACAAGUUCCUCUUUUAUCUUUCUUCUCGCCUCACGUAUCCAUGGUGGAAGAUCGUUUAGUCAUCAUAUAAACAUAAUGAUGAUGGUCUUUAACGGCUAGUGCUUUUCUUCUUUGAAAGUGGAGAAGUCAACACAUGGAAAGGGGUCCAUCUUUUAGUUCUCGAGCUUGGCGAGCUCCGCUUCUUCCCUUCCAUCAAACGGUGGUCAAGAUAUUUAUGGUUCCUUUGUUGGUGUUGCUCCACUCGAUAGAUUCCCAUCUUAAAAUGAGACAUCCUUCGGUGACAAAUAUGUAACAUGUUUGGGGCUCCUACAUGUUUCAAUACGAUCUAGUAUAUCAUGUUUACUAACAAAGAAAAUUUUGCUUUUGUUGGAUACGAUACGAAAUCCAAUUCGUCAAAGCAAGAUAAAUGAGUUGUCUUUUAGGAGCUCGUGGAAUCUUGUUAUUCCUAUAAUAAUAAUCAAAGCAAGAAAUCAUGAUUGUGUUUUGAGAUCGCAAGCCUAAUGCUCUCUUAUUUCGUGGAAAGUGUGGAAGUCUUGUUUAUUGACGUCUCCUCGACCUCAAAAUACACAUAAUGAGAUCUGGCGGAUCUGGUGUAUUUAGUUCUUGUGCACAGUCCGAGCGUGCUCGUGAUAUCGUGAUAUGGUCUCGUCAAGACUUUUCGUCACUUCUGAUCAUUUAUUGAUCAAGGACUCAUGUUCGACGUGUAGCGAAGUCGUUUUCUUUGUCUUAUUCUGAGCUGUCCAAGACAAUACCGACGAUUUAUUCCUUUGCGAUCUGUUAAUCAGGACAUUUUACAUUCUUCUGACUUGACAUUGAUAUUCGUUUGAAUGCUUUAGCUCGGUUAGCAAACUUUUAUCGUGUUGGGCAAUCAUUUGACUGGACCCGAACUCGGGAAGUCAGGAUAUCAGAACUCAGAACGUUAUCGGUCGAACUCGGCGGAGUGAAUCAUUUUUAUCAGUAAUAGAGAUUCAAUUUGGCUGAGGUCGGGAUCGAGUAUCACGUUCUGUUUUUCGUUUAGGAUCUAGUAAGAUCGAUGACAUCGUGGUGUGAUGGUUUGUUUGUCACGGUACUUUGCCGCGGUACCGGACUCUAUAUGAGCUGGAUUCAUUUUCGUGCUUACAAGCCUUAGAUCGGGUUCCUAGCAAGGAUGUUUUCCGUUUCUCUUCCCUAUAGUCGGCGCCAAAAUGUAGAACCUAAAAUAUAUACUAUCUAUUUGAUAGUGAUUGGGAGUUCAAUCUAGGAAAGAAAUAACGUGUGCAACGAUAUCUUCAGAACACAACGAUAUAAUCAGGUAUGAGUUGUCGAAAAUGGACUAUAUUCGUAGGUCGAAUAUCAUAGAGAUAUCGGGAGAAGGAAGGAUCGUGACUGAACUCAGGAUCGAGUUGCCUACGUACCCAUCAAGGGAUCAAGUCUAAACUAGUUUGGUCGACUGGCUCAUCUUCCGGUCGCGGAUGGGACGCUCUUGAGAUCCGAACUGCUGAGCACUGGUUGGAUGAAUGAUCGGGUUUCCUUGGUCAGCUAGCUGCAGAUUUGGUUGCACGCGUCUGGUUUGAUCCGUUCAAAGUUUUGUUGUUAGAGUUGUUUGUGUUGGUUGCUGACAUUGUGAUUUGUUUCUACACGUUGGUUUUCUAGAGGGAUAUGUUAUGCUGAAUAUCCCCCUCCUUGUUCCACCAAAUGUUGAAUCCCAAAAUUCACUCAGAAAUAGGAUUUAAAUUUUUGGGGACUUGUUAAAAUAAUUAUCUAAACAUGUUUUAUUGUUGAUAAGUAUAUUAGAGAACAAGCCCAAGUCAGGUCCAAGACCCAUUUAUGUUAGGGUUUCCAGCAAUCUAAAAUCUUAUAUAUGUUGUUAUGAACUCUUGUGUAAGGAAUCUUGGCUGCCAUAGUUGUAGCCACAUUUUUCUUUUUUUUUUUUUGUAACAUAGUUGUAGCCACAUUAAAACAUCUUUUAUGAUAUCAAUCCAUCUUCUUAGUUCUUGGUGACAAUCUAAAGUUUUUCCUUUUCUUACUCUUUAUAUUUCAAUAAAGCUCAUUGAGCUAUCUCUAGUUUAUGUUUCAAUAAAAUCCUUUAGACACAAAUCUAUCUUGUUCUACAAAUGUUAUCGUGGUAUCAGAGCUUCAGUCGGUUCUAAUGGGUUACCCUAUCCUCUUUUAGCUUCUGCACACUCUGUCUAAGUCAUCCCAACUUUCCACCAAACUCUCUUAGAAAAACAAGGAGUUCAAAGUCGAAGCUUUCAUCAGAUCAGAGUCUCCUAAUCGUGUUGACGGCUAGAGACAAGACACCGUAACGGCUAAAGGCGCGACCUUUACGUUCAUGAGAAAAAUGUUCGCUGCUCAACACCACGUUCAGUGAAUCAGCGCAGUCAGAUGGAGCUAUGUGUUUUUCUGGUUAAAGAUAGAAGCUGAAGAUGCUUCGUUGGAAAGAGCUCAGACCAGACAGAGAAGAAAAAAAAAAGGCUUCUUCAUCACUUAGUCCACGGUUCCGGAGAAAUUAUAUUUUUUGCCCAUCUAUCUAAAGCCGGCCUUGAGUGGGAAGCAUCAUAUUUACAUUUUACACAUCCCUUAUUUGGCUAAUUCCAUUUGUCUCGUGUGUUUCUAUUUGGACACGAAUGUGUAUUACCGCUAACCAUAUACUCAGUACUCAAAAUCCGUUCAUGAAUUUCUUCACAUACAUAUUUGUUACCUUUUCCUUUAUAAAUCAUUCCUACUUUUUCAUAUCUUCCAUAAGAUCCAGAUGGGAGUAAGUAGUACAUUCAUGGUCACAUUUGUAUUUUGUAAUACUUAGAUUUUGAAAUAGGCUUAUUUUUUUGAAUAUUAAAUUAUUAUUGAACUUGGGUCCAAAAAAGAAUUAUUUUUAGAUUUGAAAAGUCUGCUUCUCCCAAAAAAUUUUAGUUUCCAGUUCGUAUCUGUAAACAAUUUACAUAAAAUAAAAAAUUCAAUAAAAAUUUGAAAAAAAAUUUAAUAUUGAAAUUUUAUUAAAUGUAUAUAUCUUAACCGUAAUUUUCUAGUCCGACAAAUCGAUAUGAACUCCACGUUGGACAAAUUGAUGUGAAAAAAGAUUUUCACUAAUCAUAUUUGUUAAAACCAUAUUUGAGAAUGAACGCAAACAAAAAUCACGUGACAUUAAAUUAUUGGUCGGAGGUCUUAAUUACCAUUUGGAAAACAUAAAUAUGAGUUUGGAGAUUUAAACUUAUCAAUAUCAAACGAAUAAUUGCUGAAGAUUAUAAAGGGGAUCAAGCUAGAGAGCUUUGUUGCAGUUAUUUUGAAAGAGAACUGUCAAAUACAUAAAUGUAUUGUGUUGGACAAGGUUUUUGGAAUUUGAACAAGUUGAAAAAACUUAAUUGUUAGAUUAAGGUUAGGUAAAUUAGAAAUUAGCCAGUGUUGAUUCACAACUGUGAAGUCAAGUUAAUAUCAUUAAACAAUGUGUAUAAUUUGUUUAAUAGAUUUCUAAUAAAUGACAACAACAUUUGAGAGAGUUGUGCAUUGAUUUUUUUUGUUUUAGUUAUUGUGUUCUUUGUUUUGACAAUUGGUAUUAUAGUGGAUCACCUACUUAGAUUUAGAGAUUUACAACUGGUUGAGGUCCUGCGAUGAACAUGAAAACAAUAGUCUGUAAUGGUUUAUAAAUCACUCAUGUUGGAUGAAAAAAACUCCGGACACUGAAAAGUACGCAUAAGACAAUAACUCAAAGGGACAGAUGAAGAAGUUUGGACUGCAGUUGAAACAUGAUUGACAGAUCUAAUAAUAUAUACUGAACAUGAUGAGAAGAUACCUAAACCUAAAAAUAAGUGGACAAAUGCAGAAAAGACUACUUUAAGACUCAACGCAAAGGCAUUAUCAUAAAUUUUCAAUGCAAUCAGUUCUGAUCAGUUGAAACUCGUGCAUAUAUGCUAUUCAACUAAGGAUGCAAGGGAAACUUUAG